rnacentral:rRNA from 1 species
AUUGAACGCUGGCGGCAUGCUUUACACAUGCAAGUCGAACGGUAACAGGUUAAGCUGACGAGUGGCGAACGGGUGAGUAAUGCAUCGGAACGUGCCCAGUCGUGGGGGAUAACGCAGCGAAAGCUGUGCUAAUACCGCAUACGAUCUAUGGAUGAAAGCGGGGGACCGUAAGGCCUCGCGCGAUUGGAGCGGCCGAUGUCAGAUUAGCUAGUUGGUGGGUAAAGGCCUACCAAGCCGACGAUCCCAUAGCNGGUUUGAGAGGAUGAUCAGCCACACUGGGACUGAGACACGGCCCAGACUCCUACGGGAGGCAGCAGUGGGGAAUCUUAGACAAUGGGCGCAAGCCUGAUCUAGCCAUGCCGCGUGAGCGAUGAAGGCCUUAGGGUUGUAAAGCUCUUUCAGUGGGGAAGAUAAUGACUGUACCCACAGAAGAAGCCCCGGCUAACUCCGUG